UCCUCGGUAGUAUAGUGGUGAGUAUCCCCGCCUGUCACGAAGGAGACCGGGGUUUGAUUCCCCGCCGUGGAG
rfam:Nematostella vectensis strain CH2 x CH6 NEMVEscaffold_9_Cont1965, whole genome shotgun sequence.